GGGCGCCGUCCUGCCGUGCGAUCCGCAGGCGAUCGGCAAACCCAAUCUCAUUAUCGAUGCGCUGUUCGGCGCGGGUCUCAAUCGUCCGGUGAAGGGCGACCCUCAUGAGAUGAUCGCGGCGAUGAACGCCAGCGGCGUCCCGAUCCUGAGCGUCGAUCUGCCGAGCGGCAUCAAUGGCGACACCGGCGAAGUGAUGGGCAUC
rnacentral:misc_RNA from 1 species